rnacentral:rRNA from 1 species
AGAGUUCGAUCAUGGCUCAGAUUGAACGCUGGCGGCAGGCUUAACACAUGCAAGUCGAACGAUGAUUUCCCAGCUUGCUGGGAAUGAUUAGUGGCGGACGGGUGAGUAACAUUUAGGAAUCUACCUAGUAGUGGGGGAUAGCUCGGGGAAACUCGAAUUAAUACCGCAUACGACCUACGGGUGAAAGGGGGCGCAAGCUCUUGCUAUUAGAUGAGCCUAAAUCAGAUUAGCUAGUUGGUGGGGUAAAGGCCCACCAAGGCGACGAUCUGUAACUGGUCUGAGAGGAUGAUCAUUCACACCGGAACUGAGACACGGUCCGG